CGGCGGUGGCUGCGAGUCGCGAGAGCUCGACCGGCAGCUCGUACACGACCCCGACCGCCUCCUUUUUCAGGGGUUUCGGUUUCCGGUUCGGACACCCGUUCGCAGGGACGAGGCGGUUUUCUCCAUCCCCCGUGUGUCUAAUUCCUCUUUCUCUUCAUCUCACUUCACCUCCUUGUUUUCCAUCGCCUCUUUUUCUCCACCCCUGUUUAUCUGCUCUUCCGUAGUUUCCCUCUUGCCAACCGCUGUCUCAGUCUAGCGCGAGUUGCCGCGUUCGUUGCCGGACUUGGUGGCGUAUUCCCAGUGCGUGCGGCCUGUACGGGAGGCUACGCGUCUCUUCAUCUUCGUCGUCGCGUCGUGCUCGCCGGUGCUCGCGGCUACGGAUUACUCGCGUUUGCAUCCCGCUCGUGUUAAAUCCGGUGCGCGCGAUGCCAGGUAGAACCGUGGAUGCAGGAGCUACGACUUGGCCGGACGAGGGCAAUUACGGAUAAAGGAAUAAAGCAAAUAGUGCAAGCGGAACGACGAGGACGAGGCGGAUGGGAGUGCGGAGAAAAAGGAGAGAUAGCCGCAAUAGGACAGGGAGAGCGGCAGUGGUGAACACGGAUAUGCGAGGAUGUACGUUCGCGCGAACGCGUGAUCCGUUCUGAAGGAAGCAGGAGUGUGACAAGAGAGAGAGAGAGAGAGGGAGAGAGCGAGAAAGAGAUAGGAAGAGAGAGGGGGGAGGGAGGGGAAGAGAGAAAUAGAGGAAAACAGAGCGAGAGUGCGAAAACGGAGAUCAGGGAAAGAAGAGGAACGAGCCGCCGCGCGAGCAAGAACGGCGAAGAGAACGACGAAUUCAUUGCCUACGUGGAACGGGCUGCUGGCAGAGGGAGCAGCCACGCUCCGCGAAGUUGCCUAGAUACCGGGCAACACCGUGUUGCGCUCCGGUGAAGUAGGAGGCAGCGAAGGAGGCGGAGGUGGUGGUGCUGCUCCGCGGGAGGAUGGAACGUGCGGUGGACUGUAGUGAGACGAGGAAGACGAUCGCCGGCCAGGCCGCGAACGCAGGAUCCCCCGCGAGAAUGCACGAAACGCUGGGAAGCACCGUCGCGCGAACGUAGCGCGUUCUCUCAGCGAACGAUAAAACGCCGCCACCUCUCAGCGAUCGAGACCUCGCGGACACGCACAACCGAGGCGCGCGGAAGAACGCUUGGUUAUGACGGCGAAGUCGGGGGGUGCGUUAGCGAGGGCAUCGAGUAUCGAUUAGCGGACGAUUCGCGCGGAAUUGAACUCGACUCGUGACACCCUGCACGAUGAUGAUGAUAAUCAGUGACGCAGCGGGCGGCAAAGCGCUUCCGGGCGAUACUCGCGCCGGUGAUCGCUGCGUGUAAAAGUGAACACGCAAAAUUGUGCACAGUGCAUCGCGUGCCCCGUCGUGACCGGUUAGAUGAACAUCGGCAAGUCAGUGUCGUGCCUCGACCUGGGCCUGCAAAAUUCAUCUGCCAUGGCGCACCAGGCAAGAGGUCUACCGCAGUUGCGAAUAAAGUUUUAUAAUACGAUCGCCGCCGGUCUCCAAAUAGUCCUCUUGCUCACCGUCCUACCUCAAGAAAGCCUUUGCGGGCGCCACGAGAAACGCUUAUUGAAUCACCUGCUGGCAAAUUACAACACCUUGGAGCGACCGGUCGCGAAUGAGAGCGAACCGCUGGAAGUGAAGUUUGGCAUCACUCUGCAGCAAAUCAUCGACGUGGAUGAAAAGAACCAAAUACUCACGACCAACGCGUGGCUGAAACUGGAGUGGACAGACUACAACCUCCAGUGGAACGAGACCGAGUACGGCGGAGUGAAGGACCUUCGAAUUACGCCGAAUAAGCUUUGGAAACCGGAUAUCCUCAUGUACAACAGUGCGGAUGAGGGUUUCGACGGGACGUACCAAACAAACGUGGUGGUCACGCAUAACGGCAGUUGCCUGUACGUCCCUCCGGGCAUCUUCAAGAGCACAUGCAAGAUAGACAUCACUUGGUUCCCCUUUGACGACCAACACUGUGACAUGAAGUUCGGAUCCUGGACCUACGACGGCAACCAGCUCGAUCUGGUACUCAACUCAGAGGAGGGUGGUGACUUAUCCGAUUUCAUCAUGAACGGGGAAUGGUACCUCAUCGGUAUGCCGGGAAAGAAGAACACGAUAAUGUACCAAUGCUGCCCGGAGCCGUACGUCGACGUCACGUUCACGAUACAGAUACGCAGGAGGACCCUCUACUACUUUUUCAACCUGAUCGUGCCCUGCGUGCUGAUAUCGAGCAUGGCCCUAUUGGGCUUCACCCUGCCGCCCGAUUCCGGCGAGAAGCUCACCCUAGGAGUGACCAUUCUGCUGUCGCUGACAGUUUUCCUGAACCUCGUGGCAGAAAGCAUGCCGACGACUUCGGACGCUGUCCCUUUAAUAGGAUCAUACUUCAAUUGCAUCAUGUUCAUGGUGGCGAGCAGCGUCGUGCUGACCGUUCUGGUGCUCAACUAUCAUCACAGAUCGCCCGACAGAUACGUGAUGCCAAAUUGGGUGAGAAAACUGUUUCUACAAUGGCUGCCCCUUAUAUUGCGCAUGAAUCGGCCGGGCAAGAAGAUCACAAAGAAGACCAUUCUCAUGAGUAAUCGGAUGAAGGAGCUGGAGCUGCAGGAGAGGAGCAGUAAGAGUUUACUAGCGAACGUUUUAGACAUCGACGAUGAUUUUCGCCAUGGGAACAGCGCCGCAAAUCCUGCCUCGGGCUAUAUAAGCAGGUCGGCGUACGGUACACCGCUGUCGACCAGGCCGUCGACGGUCGAGGAGACCUCGGCAUCGUUGCCUCUCAGCGGCAUGCAAAAGGAACUGCACACGAUCCUCAAGGAAUUGCAGUUCAUCACGAGCCGCAUGAAAAAGGCGGAUGAGGACGACGAGGUCAUUAGCGACUGGAAGUUCGCCGCCAUGGUGGUCGACAGGCUUUGCCUGUUCGUCUUCACGUUAUUCACGGUUAUGGCUACGGUGGUGAUACUGUGUCGCGCGCCACACAUAAUCGUCCAGUAAUAGACUGCCCCGGUCGAACCGAAAAAAUACACAAAACAUGCCAGGGAUAGCGCCUCCUGGAAUAUUCGGAACGACGUCCGGCACGAUUCGAGGA